CCACGUUGGCACAUCUAACGCAAGUAACACUCAUGCAAAAGAAUCCUCUUGGAUGAGGCAAGGUUGGUAGAGAUGUGAGAAGUACCUCUAUUUAUAUGGGAGCGCCCAUGGUGAGAAAUCAGAUUGGAGUGAAAAGUGUAAGAGAGAAACUAAGCAGAGAAAAUGGAGAAGAUAUUUCAGAGAAUUAUGCACGCUUGUAUUCUUGUCUUUCUGGUAUUGCUUGGAUCAUGGUCUCUUACGAUGGAAUCAAGGAGCGUAUGCUUCCGUACUCCAUUCCAAGGGAUUGCACCAUCUAGACGUCUAAAGGAGCUCUCCGUCCAGAGAACAUCUGAAUGGGCUCCUCCUCCUCCCACAGGGAAUCCGAGUUCACAAGGACACUAGAUAUUGUAUAGAUGCGUGUACUACUCCAUAGUUUAAAUAAAUUACUUUAUUCAAGAACACAAGGCAUCACAUGCCAUCCCCAUGACUGUGUAUCACGUAUGUUUCCGAGAUGAUCAUGUCAGUUGUAAGGUGAAUCUGAUGUAAGAUAAAGUGGAAGAACAUCUCAUGGAUGAUCAGGAUCGAAGGAAAUUGGGUCGAAAAGGUCAAUUAAUGAAAGCAUAACGUGCACUAU